rnacentral:rRNA from 1 species
CCGUGAAAUGAAUAUUAGUUCUCCCUUAAUUUUACCCCCUAGACUCGACUACUUGCUCGUAGCAAAUUAAGAGUAAUUUAAAGGAGGUACAGCUCCUUUAAAACAGAACACAAUCUCCCCCAGAGGAUAAGCCAAAGUACUUCCAAACUUGUAGGCCUUUAAGCAGCCACCAACAAAGAGUGCGUCAAAGCUCCUCACACCAAAAAUAUAAAACUCUACGCGACUCCCUCACCCAUAACGGGCUAACCUAUCAAAUAUAGGAGCAUUAAUGCUAAAAUAAGUAACUAAGGACCUUCCUUCUAAAGCACAAACUUACAUUUUCACAUUAUUAACAGGCCCACUAAUAGACCAAUCACUACAAGACUGCCUAUCUAAUACCCUGUUAGACCAACCCAGGAGUGCUCAACUAGAAAGAUUCAAACCUGUAAAAGGAACUAGGCAAACCCAAGGCCCGACUGUUUACCAAAAACAUAGCCUUCAGCAAAACAACCAAGUAUUGAAGGUGAUGCCUGCCCAGUGACAUUAAGUUCAACGGCCGCGGUAUCCUAACCGUGCAAAGGUAGCGCAAUCAAUUGUCCCAUAAAUCGAGACUUGUAUGAACGGCCAAACGAGGUCUUAACUGUCUCUUACAGGUAAUCAGUGAAAUUGAUCUCCCCGUGCAAAAGCAGGGAUAAACUCAUAAGACGAGAAGACCCUGUGGAACUUAAAAAUCAACAGCCACUCUAAAAACUCAAACCCCCAUAGGGCCUACUACCAAUAGACGAUUGGCUCACAUUUUUCGGUUGGGGCGACCUUGGAGAAAAACGUAUCCUCCAAAAAUAAGACCAUCCAUCCUAACUAAGAUCAACCACUCAAAGUGCUAACAGUAACCAGACCCAGUAUAACUGAUUAAUGAACCAAGCUACCCCAGGGAUAACAGCGCAAUCCCCUUCAAGAGCCCAUAUCGACA